AUACGUAGGGAGCGAGCGGUUGUCCGGAAUUACUGGGCGUAAAGGGUGCGUAGGCGGUUUGGCAAGUCAGAUGUGAAAUCCCCGGGCUUAACUCGGGUGGUGCAUUUGAAACUGCUGAACUUGAGUGCAGGAGAGGAAAGCGGAAUUCCUAGUGUAGCGGCGAAAUGCGUAGAUAUUAGGAGGAACACCAGUGGCGAAGGCGGCUUUCUGGACUGUAACUGACGCUGAGGCACGAAAGCGUGGGGAGC
rnacentral:rRNA from 1 species